UGGGGAAUAUUGCACAAUGGGCGCAAGCCUGAUGCAGCCAUGCCGCGUGUGUGAAGAAGGCCUUCGGGUUGUAAAGCACUUUCAGCGGGGAGGAAGGCGAUAAGGUUAAUAACCUUGUCGAUUGACGUUACCCGCAGAAGAAGCACCGGCUAACUCCGUGCCAGCAGCCGCGGUAAUACGGAGGGUGCAAGCGUUAAUCGGAAUUACUGGGCGUAAAGCGCACGCAGGCGGUCUGUCAAGUCGGAUGUGAAGUCCCCGGGCUCAACCUGGGAACUGCAUUCGAAACUGGCAGGCUAGAGUCUUGUAGAGGGGGGUAGAAUUCCAGGUGUAGCGGUGAAAUGCGUAGGGAUCUGGAGGAAUACCGGUGGCGAAGGCGGCCCCCUGGACAAAGACUGACGCUCAGGUGCGAAAGCGUGGGGAGCAAACAAGAUUAGAUACCCUGGUAGUCCACGCUGUAAACGAUGUCGAUUUGGAGGUUGUGCCCUUGAGGCGUGGCUUCCGGAGCUAACGCGUUAAAUCGACCGCCUGGGGAGUACGGCCGCAAGGUUA
rnacentral:rRNA from 1 species